rnacentral:rRNA from 1 species
CAUUAUCGUACAAAAUGUGAGGGGCAUGUGAGGGCUGUCGCCGACUCAAAGUCGUGCACGCCCGAGCGUGUCCUCUCACAUAAUAAUCCAUCUCACCCUUUGUGCAUCGCCGCGUGGGCACCCUUUGGGAUCAUCCCGGAGGGGGCUCGCGUUUUCACACAAACCCCCCUUUUAAAAGUGUAGAAUGACCUCAUUUAUGCGCUAACCCGCAAUCAAUACAACUUUCAACAACGGAUCUCUUGGCUCUCGCAUCGAUGAAGAACGCAGCGAAAUGCGAUACGUAAUGUGAAUUGCAGAAUUCAGUGAAUCAUCGAAUCUUUGAACGCACCUUGCGCCCCUUGGUAUUCCGAGGGGCACACCCGUUUGAGUGUCGUGAAAACCUCAACCUCUUUGGUUUCUUCUGGAGACCAAAGCAGGCUUGGACUUUGGAGGCCUUUGCUGGCACCUCUCUCUUUUGAAGGUCAGCUCCUCUUAAACGAAUUAGCAGGGUCCUCUUUGCCGAUCCUCGACGUGUGAUAAGAUGUUUCCAUGUCUUGGUUUCUGGCUCUGUCACUUUUGGGACCCGCUUCUAACCGUCUUGACCUUGCGUCGAGACAAGUGCUCGAGCAUGUCUCCCUUCUUGGGAAGCUCCCUCGACCCCACGAACCCUUG